rnacentral:rRNA from 1 species
CCUACGGGUGGCAGCAGUGAGGAAUAUUGGUCAAUGGACGAGAGUCUGAACCAGCCAAGUAGCGUGAAGGAUGACUGCCCUAUGGGUUGUAAACUUCUUUUAUAUGGGAAUAAAAUGGGGCUCGUGAGCCCCGUAUUGUAUGUACCAUCAGAAAAAGGACCGGCUAAUUCCGUGCCAGCAGCCGCGGUAAUACGGAAGGUCCGGGCGUUAUCCGGAUUUAUUGGGUUUAAAGGGAGCGUAGGCUGGCUUUUAAGUCAGCUGUGAAAGUCCGCGGCUCAACCGUGGAAUUGCAGUUGAAACUGGAGGCCUUGAGUGCACACAGGGAUGCCGGAAUUCAUGGUGUAGCGGUGAAAUGCUUAGAUAUCAUGAAGAACUCCGAUCGCGAAGGCAAGUGUCCGGGGUGCAACUGACGCUGAGGCUCGAAAGUGCGGGUAUCAAACAGGAUUAGAUACCCGGGUAGUC